rnacentral:lncRNA from 1 species
UAGAAAUUGAUAUUACUGAUAUUAUCUAUGUUACAUUUGUUUUCUUUUUACUAAUUCCUGUUCUUUAUUGCUUCCUUUUUUGUUUUUGAUUUGCAAUGCUUUAUUCUGAUGAUUACUUUUAUUUUUGUUUGAUUUUUGUUGCUUUUUAUUAAGUUGAAAUCUUAGCUCAUUAAUGUUUAGCCUUCCUUCUGUUCUGGUAUGGUAUAAGCCUUUGAGGCUAUGAUUUUCCCUGUAAGAAUCAUUAUCUGUGUCACACAAAUUUUAACAGAUAGUAGUUCUGUUAUUAUUUAAUGCAAAUAAAUUGCUAAAUCUGAACAAAAUCCUUUGUUUCUUCUCUUAGUCUAUGCCAACAUGUGAACGCCCCAAAUGGGAUUGUUUUAUGUUUUCUGUUCUGCUUUUUUUUUUUUUUAUGUUGGGCUGUGCUUCUGUUUCAGGGCUUUACCUUUCAUAUGAGACUAGUGACAGGUCCAAGGGCUACCAGUUCACCAAGGAAAUCUUUGAUUGGUCUUUUCGCCGUAGGGAUAAUAGUUCACCUUUUUUCUGUAUUCUUUCUAAGCUUAAUGAUCAUGCUAACUUCAGUAGAUCCACUUCCCAGCUACCAGUUACCAGACUAAGAUAAUGCUGAUCUUACCUUGACCAUUCUACCUCACUUGUUUCCACUAUCAGUAUCCUUUGAUCUGUAAGUCUUCAGAUUCUGUCUCCAUGCACAUAGGUGAACAUUAUUUUAUUCCUGAACUUUCGGUCAAAAGAUGGUGUCUUCUGGACAAGGUGGAAAUGACCAUUGCCGGAGGAAGCAACAGACCCCCUCCCGCCUUGCUGUGUCCGCCUGACAGGGAUUUAGCAGGUCCUGUGAGAACAUCAAAGGCUGUGGAGAGCUGAAGGAAAGUCACCUCAUGCCUUUUAAAUCCUUUAUCUUUCUUUUCAAACCUGGCAACUCCUUUUUGUUCAUCAUCCUUCAGAAUCAACUCCACGGCAGUUUCUUCCCUGGGUUCUUCCCUGGGUUCUCAACCUUACCCAGGUGAGGCUCCUCUAGCUUGGCUCUUCCUGGGAUUUUGCUUCUUCAGAACUUAAAAAUCUUCAUCAUUCCCUUGCAAAUUCCAGAACA